rnacentral:ncRNA from 1 species
GGAUGAAAAAGGCAAAGCCGUUCGAAAGUCGGUGACGCAAAGCCACGAAUCUACGUCAGGUAAAUCUGAUAAGAUGGUCGGGUUGCCCGU